CCUACGGGAGGCAGCAGUGAGGAAUAUUGGACAAUGGGCGCAAGCCUGAUCCAGCCAUGCCGCGUGCAGGAAGACGCAUCUAUGGUGUGUAAACUGCUUUUGUACGGGAAGAAACACUCCCUCGUGAGGGAGCUUGACGGUACCGUAAGAAUAAGGAUCGGCUAACUCCGUGCCAGCAGCCGCGGUAAUACGGAGGAUCCAAGCGUUAUCCGGAAUCAUUGGGUUUAAAGGGCCCGUAGGCGGUUUAAUAAGUCAGUGGUGAAAGCCCAUCGCUCAACGAUGGAACGGCCAUUGAUACUGUUAGACUUGAAUUACUAGGAAGUAACUAGAAUAUGUAGUGUAGCGGUGAAAUGCUUAGAUAUUACAUGGAAUACCAAUUGCGAAGGCAGGUUACUACUAGUGGAUUGACGCUGAUGGACGAAAGCGUGGGGAGCGAACAGGAUUAGAUACCCUGGUAGUCCACGCCGUAAACGAUGGAUACUAGCUGUUGGGCGCAAGUUCAGUGGCUAAGCGAAAGUGAUAAGUAUCCCACCUGGGGAGUACGUUCGCAAGAAUGAAACUCAAAUGAAAUUGACGG
rnacentral:rRNA from 1 species